ensembl:lncRNA
GGGGCUGUGACGUGGAGUGGACGGCACAUUUGGACAGCGCUAUGGUGGCUAGUCAGACUGCUGGUGCUUUCCACAAAUACCGUAAACACUGGCAUCCCAAGACUUUUGCAAAAUUGCUUUUUUUUUGUUUAAUGUCUAUUAUACAAUACUACAAUAUAUUACUAUUAUAAUAUUAUUAAUUAUAAAUUAACAUACCAUAAUUAUCUCAUUUGAGUCUUUGCAAAGACCAUCCCCCUAGUUACUGUUGCUAUGUCUGACAAGCCAUGGCGCUCUCAUGCCACCAUGUUCUCACGCAGUGAAAAAUACAUUGCGUAGCAAAGAGGACACUGACAAUGCGCCGACAGACAAAACAGAGCAAGUUACUUUAGAUCCUGUGAGUUGUGACAUUCAAGAACUGCCAUCAUUUGGACCUUUUCUACAUCAUGACAUGAAGACAGAUCUGCAUACUUGUCAUUGAUUGAUUGAUUCAUCCAUUCAAAGCUAUAACAAGAGGUAAAGAAACUAACUUAAUGAGCAAACAAUAAACUCACCCAUUUUAUUUUACAUUUUUUAACCCUCAUGAUGUGUUCCAUGAGUGGAUUUUCUUUAUUUUUUAUUUUUUCCACAAAAAUGCUAAUUAAUGAAAUUUCAUUGGACUAAAACUCAAUAAACGUACCAAAUUACUAGAAAAUUUUUUUUUAUAAUUUUUGUACUGUUUUAGGAUUUUUCUCCAACCUU